rnacentral:rRNA from 1 species
UAAAGAGUUCUAUAACUCCCAAACCCAUGUGAACAUACCUAACGUUGCCUCGGCAGGUCGCACCUACCUUGUAGCACCCUACCCUGUAGGGCCUACCCGGGAGGUGCGGGUAAGCCUGCCGGCGGCCCACCAAACUCUGUUUGAUAUUGAAUUCUGAACCUAUAACUAAAUAAGUUAAAACUUUCAACAACGGAUCUCUUGGUUCUGGCAUCGAUGAAGAACGCAGCGAAAUGCGAUAAGUAAUGUGAAUUGCAGAAUUCAGUGAAUCAUCGAAUCUUUGAACGCAUAUUGCGCCCAUUAGUAUUCUAGUGGGCAGGACCGUUCGAGCGUCAUUUCAACCCUUAAGCCUUCGUUGCUUAGUGUUGGGAGCCUACGGCAACGUAGCUCCUCAAAGUUAGUGGCGGAGUUGGUUCACACUCUAGACGUAGUAAUUUUUUAUCUCGCCUAUUAGUUGGACUAAUCCCCUGCCGUAAAACCCCCAAUUUAUCAAGGUUGACCUCGAAUCGGUUCAGACAAACUCGCUAAAUUGAAGCAUCUUAGUCAGCGAAGGAAAAGAAACCAACAGGGAUUGCCCUAGUAACGGCGAGUGAAGCGGCAACAGCUCAAAUUUGAAAUCUGGCCCUCGGGUCCGAGUUGUAAUUUGUAGAGGAUGCUUUUGGCGCGGUGCCUUCCGAGUUCCCUGGAACGGGACGCCUUAGAGGGUGAGAGCCCCGUAC